UGUGAGAGCAAAAAGAAUGCAUUGCUUUUUGUUGUGCAGUUUGUACAUCAGAACUGAGGUAUGUUGCAUUCUACAGGCUAAACAAAUAAUAUCCAGAGGCAAGCUGAAGUACAAGUCAGAGUUGUGUGGAUAGCACCUGUCCUGUGCCAAAGUUAGUCUUAAGGUCAAUGAAAAGGUUUCAGGAGAUCAGAGGAGAAAGUUGUGUCCUGAUGUAAAGUCCAAUGGAUCCAACCACCUUCUCAAAACAAGGUGCUCCAGUGACACAACAAGAAGUCUGAGUUGGACCUGUGACUGCAUUUUAUGAACACUGAUCUUUUUUUGGCUGAAAAUCUGGAGGGAAAGUGCAAAUUUACUUGAACUGCCCUGACUUCAGGGCAUAUUUCUGUUGAUGAGGUGUUUUUAUGAGCAGC